rnacentral:rRNA from 1 species
GUAGGUGGCAAGCGUUGUCCGGAAUUAUUGGGCGUAAAGCGCGCGCAGGCGGUUCUUUAAGUCUGAUGUGAAAGCCCACGGCUCAACCGUGGAGGGUCAUUGGAAACUGGAGAACUUGAGUACAGAAGAGGAAAGCGGAAUUCCACGUGUAGCGGUGAAAUGCGUAGAGAUGUGGAGGAACACCAGUGGCGAAGGCGGCUUUUCUGGUCUGUAACUGACGCUGAGGCGCGAAAGCGUGGGGAGCAAACAGGGAUUAGAUACCCUGGUAGUCCACGCCGUAAACGAUGAGUGCUAAGUGUUAGGGGGUUUCCGCCCCCUUAGUGCUGCAGCUAACGCAUUAAGCACUCCGCCUGGGGAGUACGGCCCGCAAGGCUG